CCUACGGGAGGCAGCAGUGAGGAAUAUUGGUCAAUGGACGAGAGUCUGAACCAGCCAAGUAGCGUGAAGGAUGACUGCCCUAUGGGUUGUAAACUUCUUUUAUAUGGGAAUAAAAUGUUCCACGUGUGGGAUUUUGUAUGUACCAUAUGAAUAAGGAUCGGCUAACUCCGUGCCAGCAGCCGCGGUAAUACGGAGGAUCCGAGCGUUAUCCGGAUUUAUUGGGUUUAAAGGGAGCGUAGGUGGAUUGUUAAGUCAGUUGUGAAAGUUUGCGGCUCAACCGUAAAAUUGCAGUUGAAACUGGCAGUCUUGAGUACAGUAGAGGGGGGCGGAAUUCGUGGUGUAGCGGUGAAAUGCUUAGAUAUCACGAAGAACCCCGAUUGCGAAGGCAGUUCACUGGACUGCAACUGACACUGAGGCUCGAAAGUGUGGGUAUCAAACAGGAUUAGAUACCCGAGUAGUC
rnacentral:rRNA from 1 species